rnacentral:rRNA from 1 species
GGGCGUUAAGUUGCAGGGUAUAGACCCGAAACCCGGUGAUCUAGCCAUGGGCAGGUUGAAGGUUGGGUAACACUAACUGGAGGACCGAACCGACUAAUGUUGAAAAAUUAGCGGAUGACCUGUGGCUGGGGGUGAAAGGCCAAUCAAACCGGGAGAUAGCUGGUUCUCCCCGAAAGCUAUUUAGGUAGCGCCUCGUGAAUUCAUCUCCGGGGGUAGAGCACUGUUUCGGCUAGGGGGCCAUCCCGGCUUACCAACCCGAUGCAAACUGCGAAUACCGGAGAAUGUUAUCACGGGAGACACACGGCGGGUGCUAACGUCCGUCGUGAAGAGGGAAACAACCCAGACCGCCAGCUAAGGUCCCAAAGUCAUGGUUAAGUGGGAAACGAUGUGGGAAGGCCCAGACAGCCAGGAUGUUGGCUUAGAAGCAGCCAUCAUUUAAAGAAAGCGUAAUAGCUCACUGGUCGAGUCGGCCUGCGCGGAAGAUGUAACGGGGCUAAACCAUGCACCGAAGCUGCGGCAGCGACGCUGAUGCGUUGUUGGGUAGGGGAGCGUUCUGUAAGCCUGCGAAGGUGGCCUGUGAGGGUUGCUGGAGGUAUCAGAAGUGCGAAUGCUGACAUAAGUAACGAUAAAGCGGGUGAAAAGCCCGCUCGCCGGAAGACCAAGGGUUCCUGUCCAACGUUAAUCGGGGCAGGGUGAGUCGACCCCUAAGGCGAGGCCGAAAGGCGUAGUCGAUGGGAAACGGGUUAAUAUUCCCGUACUUGGUGUUACUGCGAAGGGGGGACGGAGAAGGCUAUGUUGGCCGGGCGACGGUUGUCCCGGUUUAAGCGUGUAGGUGUGUGUUCCAGGUAAAUCCGGUUCACUUUAACACUGAGGCGUGAUGACGAGGCACUACGGUGCUGAAGCAACAAAUGCCCUGCUUCCAGGAAAAGCCUCUAAGCAUCAGGUAACAUCAAAUCGUACCCCAAACCGACACAGGUGGUCAGGUAGAGAAUACCAAGGCGCUUGAGAGAACUCGGGUGAAGGAACUAGGCAAAAUGGUGCCGUAACUUCGGGAGAAGGCACGCUGACA